rnacentral:rRNA from 1 species
GACGAACGCUGGCGGCGUGCUUAACACAUGCAAGUCGAACGGAAAGGCCUCAGCUUGCUGGGGUACUCGAGUGGCGAACGGGUGAGUAACACGUGGGUGACCUGCCUUUCACUCUGGGAUAAGCUCGGGAAACUGGGUCUAAUACCGGAUAUGAACUGCCGUUGGUGGGGGGGUUGGGGAGAUUUUUGGGUGCAGGAUGAGCUCGCGGCCUAUCAGCUUGUUGGUGGGGUAAUGGCCUAUCAAAGGGUCUACGGGUAGCCCGCCUGGGAGGGUGUACGGCCACAUUGGGACUGAGAUACGGCCCAGACUCCUACGGGAGGCAGCAGUGGGGAAUAUUGCACAAUGGGCGGAAGCCUGAUGCAGCGACGCCGCGUGGGGGAUGACGGCCUUCGGGUUGUAAACUCCUUUCGACAGGGACCAAGCUUUGUGUGACGGUACCUGUAUAAGAAGCACCGGCUAACUACGUG